rnacentral:rRNA from 1 species
CCAGGUAAGUCCCUUGGGAAAUCUGGCAGCUCAACUGUCAGGCUGCUAGGGGAUACUGUUUGGCUUGGGACCGGGAGAGGUGAGAGGUACCUUGGGGGUAGGGGUGAAAUCUUGUGAUCCUCGGGGGACCACCAGUGGCGAAGGCGUCUCACCAGAACGGGUCCGACGGUAAGGGACGAAAGCUAGGGGCACGAACCGGAUUAGAUACCCGGGUAGUCCUAGCCGUAAACGAUGCUCGCUAGGUGUCAGUCACGGUGCGACCGUGAUUGGUGCCGUAGGGGAGCCGUGAAGCGAGCCACCUGGGAAGUAUGGCCGCAAGGCUGAAACUUAAAGGAAUUGGCGGGGGAGCACUACAACGGGUGGAGCCUGCGGUUUAAUUGGAUUCAACGCCGGAAAUCUCACCGGGGGCGACAGCGAUAUGAAGGUCAGGCUGAAGACCUUACCGGAUUAGCUGAGAGGUGGUGCAUGGCCGUCGUCAGUUCGUACUGUGAAGCAUCCUGUUAAGUCAGGCAACGAGCGAGACCCACGUCCACAGUUGCCAGCAUACCCUCCGGGGUGAUGGGUACACUGUGGAGACCGCCGCUGCUAAAGCGGAGGAAGGAGUGGGCAACGGUAGGUCAGUAUGCCCCGAAUCUCCCGGGCUACACGCGGGCUACAAUGGUUGGUACAAUGGGCAUCUACCCCGAAAGGGGAAGGUAAUCUCUUAAAGCCAAUCGUAGUUCGGAUUGAGGGCUGCAACUCGCCCUCAUGAAGCUGGAAUCCGUAGUAAUCGCGUUUCAACAGAACGCGGUGAAUACGNCCCUGCUCCUUGCACACACCGCA